UGUUACAAUCAGUAACACUGACAGCCUUUCACCAUUGGUAGAUACUAUAUAAGGGAUCAAUUAUGCAAGCUAUUAAAAAUUGUUAAAUUUUGUUCCCUCGCAGGUUUUUGAACCACAAAACCAAAGUACCUCCAAAGACAAACCUGAAGAUAAAAGAGAUGUACCGGGACAAUCAGAAACAAUUCAACCUGGACAGAUAGUAAUAUCUGAUGCUGAUGAUAUGGAGUCUCCUGAAAGAAACCCAGACAAGGCAUCUUACUACAGUAAAUACACAGACCUGUAUGCACCAGGUGUUGAAGAAGAGGACGAGGAGCUGGUUGCAGUCAAUGUGGACAAUUUCCAACACACAGCAGUGUAAAAUUAGAUUUUGACUGUGGCAUUCCAGUU